CAAUUUUUUUGAACUUUUGCAAAAUGAAACAAAUUUUCAUUUUAUUCAUUGGUUACCAUAACUGAAUACGUAUUUAUUGCACCAAUUAUGUUUUACCCUGAGGUAGACUGGUUGGGGCGGGAUUAUAGAGUUGAAAAUGAAGGGUUACACUUAUAAGAAAACAUUAAGGUAGUUAAUGAUUUCUAGACCAAAUCAAUAGUAAUUAAGUAUUAUAGGAAUAAGAGUUAUUCUGGUGUAAUAUUUGAUUGAAAAUGUCUCAAUUUAGUGAAAGAGAAACUGUUUGCCUCGAGGUGGCAUUUAUUCUAAAUAAUUGAAAUAUCAUUGCAAAAUAAAAAUGAUGUUGAGGUUCAUAUUUCUUUUUUUAAACUGAUUGGAUUAAAACGAAUUUUUGCAUGUCUAAAUCAUGACUAGUGCGGUUAUUUCUUUACUUGGCGCCGAUAAAUUAAACAGUGAAAACUGUGCAACAUGAAAAAAAUAUGAUCAACACCGUCAUGGUCAUCGACGAUCUCAAAUUCGUCCUAACAGAGGAAUGUCCUCUAGUUCUUGGACCCACUGCUUCACGAAACAUUCAUGAAGCCCAUGAAAAAUGGACUAAGGCCAACGAUAAGGCCAGGGUCUAUAUUUUGGCAAGCUUGACUAAUCUUGAGCACAAAGCUUGAGCUCAUGAUAACUGCACAUGAGAACCAUGGAGUCAUUGCGUGGGAUGUUGGGCCAAUUGACUACACGUCUCAAAUAUAAUGCUCUGAAGUUCAUCUUGAACACUCGAAUGAACGAGGGAUCGUCUAUUAGGGAACAUGUCCUUAACAUGAUGGUCCACUUCAGUAUCGCUAAGAUGAACGGGGUUGUCAUAGACGAGUCCAGCUAGACUUGCGAGUCCUUGAGGAAAGUCAAAGGACAUUAUGGAAAGGCAAAUGUUACCAAUUCCUUGAAAAAAUUCCAUAGGGAUUCUACCUUUGGGACUAAGUUCACACCUUGUUCCACUAGCUCUAAGAAAUGGAAGAAGAAGAAAGAUGGUAAGGGGAAGAAUAAAACUAUCCCACCUGCUGUCGCCCACAAGGGCAAAAAGGUGAAAACUGUAAAGGGAACCUGUUUUCAUUGCAAGAGGAUGGACAUUGGAAAUGUAACUACCUAAAGUACUACUGAAAAGAAGAAGGAAAAAGAAGGAAACUAGUUUUUGGAAGCAGCUGAAGGCUAGAGAGAUGUCUCUAUGGGUUGAAAUAUGGGAGGUUGUCUCGGUGGUUGUAGUUGGGAGCUUAAAAUUACUUUUCAAUUCAAAGUUUAUAUUGCUA